GAUCCCUCAGAGACGAUGAGGUAGAUAGGUCCGAGGUGGAAGCGUGGUGACACGUGGAGCUGACGGAUACUAAUCGAUCGAGGACUUAACUAA
rnacentral:rRNA from 1 species